rnacentral:rRNA from 1 species
AACGAACGCUGGCGGCAUGCCUAACACAUGCAAGUCGAACGAGACCUUCGGGUCUAGUGGCGCACGGGUGCGUAACACGUGGGAAUCUGCCCUUUGCUUCGGAAUAACAGUUAGAAAUGACUGCUAAUACCGGAUGAUGUCGAAAGACCAAAGAUUUAUCGGCAAAGGAUGAGCCCGCGUAGGAUUAGGUAGUUGGUGGGGUAAAGGCCUACCAAGCCGACGAUCCUUAGCUGGUCUGAGAGGAUGAUCAGCCACACUGGGACUGAGACACGGCCCAGACUCCUACGGGAGGCAGCAGUGGGGAAUAUUGGACAAUGGGCGAAAGCCUGAUCCAGCAAUGCCGCGUGAGUGAUGAAGGCCUUAGGGUUGUAAAGCUCUUUUACCAGGGAUGAUAAUGACAGUACCUGGAGAAUAAGCUCCGGCAAACUCCGU